AGUGAACGCUGGCGGUAGGCCUAACACAUGCAAGUCGAACGGCAGCACAGUAAGAGCUUGCUCUUACGGGUGGCGAGUGGCGGACGGGUGAGGAAUACAUCGGAAUCUACUUUUUCGUGGGGGAUAACGUAGGGAAACUUACGCUAAUACCGCAUACGACCUACGGGUGAAAGCAGGGGAUCUUCGGACCUUGCGCGAUUGAAUGAGCCGAUGUCGGAUUAGCUAGUUGGCGGGGUAAAGGCCCACCAAGGCGACGAUCCGUAGCUCGUCUGAGAGGUGAUCAGCCACACUGGAACUGAGACACGGUCCAGACUCCUACGGGAGGCAGCAGUGGGGAAUAUUGGACAAUGGGCGCAAGCCUGAUCCAGCCAUACCGCGUGGGUGAAGAAGGCCUUCGGGUUGUAAAGCCCUUUUGUUGGGAAAGAAAAGCAGCAGGUUAAUACCCCGCUGUUCUGACGGUACCCAAAGAAUAAGCACCGGCUAACUUCGUG
rnacentral:rRNA from 1 species